rnacentral:lncRNA from 1 species
GGACAGAAGAACAACACAGCAGGGCAGAGAGCCACAGAGCCACUAGCAGAUGUCAGGGAGAUGAAGAGAGGGGCCACAGUAAAAUAAGACUCUGGGAUGAAGGUAUGACCAGGACAAGGGCCAGGCCAGUCUUCAGAGACCUGAGAUUAAACUUGAAUCACUGAAAGAAGAUAUUAAGGAAUUCUUUAAAAUAUCAGGUUGGGAGAAGAAACUUCAGAAUGCUGUUUAUAGUGAACUGAGUGUGUUUCCUUUACCUAGUCAUCCUGCUGCACCUCCUGAACAUCUUAAAGAACCUUUGGUAUACAUGAGGAAAGCACAGGGAAGUUGGGAAAAAAGAAUUUUGAAGAGUUUAAAUAGUAUGUGCACUGAACUGAGUAUCCCACUGGCACGAAAGAGGCCAGUUGGAGAACAGAAAGAACUUCUUAAUAAAUGGAAUGAAAUGGGAACUGAUGAACCAGAUUUAAGCCUUUUCAGACCUGUUUAUGCACCUAAGGAUUUUCUUGAGGUAUUAAUUAAUCUUCGCAACCCAAAUUAUGAAAACGGUGAUUCUCUUAGUUUCAGGACUCAUUUGGGUUUAAUUCAAGUUCCACUGAAAGUAAAAGACAUCCCUGAAUUGAAAGAAUGCUUUGUGGAACUUGGCUUAAAUAUAGGACAACUGGGUAUAGAUGAUUCUACACAAGUGCCUCCUG